rnacentral:rRNA from 1 species
UACGUAGGGUGCAAGCGUUAAUCGGAAUUACUGGGCGUAAAGCGUGCGCAGGCGGUCCGCUAAGACAGAUGUGAAAUCCCCGGGCUUAACCUGGGAACUGCAUUUGUGACUGGCGGGCUAGAGUAUGGCAGAGGGGGGUAGAAUUCCACGUGUAGCAGUGAAAUGCGUAGAGAUGUGGAGGAAUACCGAUGGCGAAGGCAGCCCCCUGGGCCAAUACUGACGCUCAUGCACGAGAGCGUGGGGAGCAAACAGG